rnacentral:rRNA from 1 species
GACGAACGCUGGCGGCGUGCUCAACACAUGCAAGUCGAGCGGUAAGGCCCUUUCGGGGGUACACGAGCGGCGAACGGGUGAGUAACACGUGGGUGACCUGCCCUCAGCUCUGGGAUAAGCCUGGGAAACCGGGUCUAAUACUGGAUAUGACUCCAUGACGCAUGUUGUGGGGUGGAAAGCCUUGUGCGGCUGAGGAUGGGCCCGCGGCCUAUCAGCUUGUUGGUGGGGUGAUGGCCUACCAAGGCGACGACGGGUAGCCGGCCUGAGAGGGCGACCGGCCACACUGGGACUGAGACACGGCCCAGACUCCUACGGGAGGCAGCAGUGGGGAAUCUUGCGCAAUGGGCGAAAGCCUGACGCAGCGACGCCGCGUGAGGGAUGACGGCCUCGG